GCGAGGGUUUCCUGCAGCCAGCUGUGAAGUUUGGGUUACAUCUUUGAACUUCUUUGGAGCUCAGUUUCUCAUCUGUAAGAUGGACACACCAGUAGCCAUUUCUCACAAAUUUGGGGGUGGUAGGUAACAUGUGUGCCCAGAGCCUGCAGAGCUCUCUUUCGAUCCUGAGCCCAAUGAGUGGCAACUGGCUUAGUCGCCGCGCUCCCUCCCUCAUCCGCUCCUGACUCAUCCGAUGUUUUCUGGACAGUCAUUGCUGAGUUUCGCCCAGCCUUACUCCCCAAUGGCUGGGGUUUGACAACUUCGCUCCCCAACUUGCGAUUGUCGUCCCCCCAACACCCCCCGCUCGCCCUCCCCACCGGGCCGCGCCAUCCCGAGAGCCGUCCGAAGGUGGC
rnacentral:lncRNA from 1 species